rnacentral:rRNA from 1 species
AUGGACUCGGAGGACGAGGAGGCACUCGCGGUGCUGCUGGAGAAGGAGGCCGAUGUCGACGUCCAGGACGAAGAGCAUCUCAUGGUCCUCGCCGCCCUGGCCAGCCUGCUCGCGAGCAAUGCAAAGCCGCGACGAGGUGGCUCGGCGCCGGGGCGGCUGAAAGCAAAGAAGCGGCAUCGACUGGAAGGCUAUUGCUUGCUCUACUCCGACUACUUUGCCGACGCUCCACUGCACGGUGACAAAGUAUUUCGGCGCCGUUAUCGGAUGAGCCGAAAGAUUUUCCUCAGGAUUGUGAAUUCCAUCCGGGAGUUCGACAUCUACUUCAAGUGCAAGAAUGAUUGCACUGGCACACUUGGGUUCACCUCAAUUCAGAAGUGCACGCCAGCUAUGAGGAUGUUUGCAUACGAAGCUCCCGAUGAUGCACUCGACGACUAUGGGCGCAUGGCCGAGUCCACGACCAUUGAGUGUUUCUACAAGUUCUGCAGGGCAGUGGUGGCAGUUUUUGGACCGCAAUACUUGCGAUCACCCAAUGCUGAAGACACUGCUCAGAUCCUAGCACAGAAUACAACAAGAGGAUUUCCUGGGAUGCUUGGAAGCAUCGACUGCAUGCAUUGGAAAUAG